AAGCACAGUUCGUUGUCUUUUUUUCUUUAUGUCAAGAAGAAAGAUAUUUCUGAUGUGCCCAGCUAAGCUUUGGAGGUCAGUUAGCAGCAUGAAUUAGUAGCCAUUGCUGUCAGUCACCUUCAGACAAAU